GCACCUCUAGCUCAACUGGUUAGAGCAUCGGACUCUUAAUCCGCAGGUUCUGGGUUCGAGUCCCAGGGGGUGUA
rnacentral:tRNA from 1 species